rnacentral:SRP_RNA from 1 species
UCUGGUGCGGUGGCAUGUGCUUACUCGGGAGGCUUACUCGGGACUGCUUGAGCCCAGUAGUUCUGGACUGCAGUGCCCUAUGCUGAUCCUGUGUCCGCACUAAGUUUGACAUCAAUAUGGUGACCUCCUGGAAGCAAGGGGGCCACCAGGUUGCCUAAGGAAGUCUGAACUGGCUCAGGUUGGAAGUGGAGCAGGUUGAAACUCCUGUGCUGAUAAGUAGUGGGAUCAUGCCUAUGAAUAGCCACUGCACUCCAGCCUGGGCAACAUAGUGAGACU